AGAGUGCUGUCCUGCAUGUGGUUGGAAACCAGAAGGGGAGGAAAAGUUGAUGCGUUGUGGGAUGUGCGAGUGCUACUUCCACAAGAAGCUGCACUGCGUAUGGGAAGCUCUACACAGUGCAGGAUCGGACACUUUCAUUUGCAAACGAUGCGAAUAUAAUGUGGAAUAAUGCCUACGUUAAGGACUUUAAAAUGUGCGGGAUGUGUUAGCCUAAGAUAGACGACAUUGGAUGUAUUACUUUCCUUUCUUUGUCUACAUGAGACACUUCUAGUCAAAACAUCAAGUCCAUCAAUGUGGACGAGCAAAUUGUUGUCUUUCAGAAGUUUUGAAUGUCAUACGGGAUAAAAUAAGGUUAACAACUCCCACCUUCGUUAUAUUUUAUUGGUCGAUGCUAAGUAUGAACAAUUAAAAUAGUCCAUGUCGGCAUUUUCAUGUUAGAUGAAACGCAAAUAUAUGAAGUGUUGUUUGCAGAUGUAUCAUUUCUGACCAUAUUGGAAAUAACGUAAUUUUCAAAAAUAAAUAUCAAACACUCGUUUUCAAAUACAAUAUUCUGUGUUUCCGCUUGAACCGAUUACUCAAUCCCAAUUGCGUAUUCGGUAUUGUUAUACGUUAUGCAUUCAUGUAUGCCUCAAAGGGUCUCCCUGUUGGGUUAAGUUUGUAAAUAUAUGUUUCUUGCCCAAACUCUGUUUAACUGGCCACUGAAUAAAAACAAUUUCGUAUGUAUUACUAUGCUUUUUGAAGCCAGUAUAAAGAGCGAUAUAAUUAUUGAAUGUUUUUACUGAACUUAAUUUUUUAUCUGACAUUACUCAUGGUCUGACAGACUAUCGCAAACACAUUCAUAUGGGUAGAUUUCACAUUUAAUUUACAAAUGUAGCAUAGCCUCCUUCCAAGUUGGUGGAUGGGGGAGUUAUAUAGGACUUACUAUGUCUAGUUAUUCUGUCUGUGUUAAACUUAACUUGAUUAGAAUGUAACAUUUAAAUAUGAUGGUAUUUCUAAUAUUUUAAAUUGAGUCGCAUUUAUAAAAUAACAAGACUGGCUUAAAACCAGAUAUAAAAGACUGAGCAUGGUAGGAGUAUGCUCUUCUGUGGUUGCAUGUGUUAUUCCACUCUAAUUUGGAGGCAUAUAUUAUAAUAAUUGGGUCCACCCACCAUUGUGAUAAAUGACGAGAGAAGCUUAAGAAAUACCAGCAGAUUUUAUUUUAGUUUUAGUUUUGCAAAUAAGUGCAUAUAUUAUAAGCACAGAUCAUUAAUGCAAGCCAUAAAUGUCUUGUCAACUUUGCUUUUAUAUAGGUGUUUUACCGGUCUGUGUUUAACAUAUAUUUGAUGUAUUCUAUAUAUUUGAUGAUGUUUCAGUGAUCAAAAUAAUCAAAUACUUAGUUUUGAGUCAAUAAAUUGCUUUGAAAAAAAAAUAUUUAGAUUACAAAAAAAACAUAUUUGAUUGCUCUUGAAAUAAUGGUGUAUUCAAACAGAGACUCAAGGCUGGUUUUACAAAUAAGGAACAUAAAAAUAUAUUUCUAUUGUUAAAGUAUAAUUGCUUAUACUUGUCAAAUUGUUGCAUAAUGACUGAAUCAAUCGAUGAAAAAAGUUAUGUUUUGAUAUUUUUAUUUUAUUAUUAUGUUGUAUACUUUGAGUAUAAUGACUGUAUAUUGUUUUGUUUCCAACAGAUAGUUCGGAACAAUGAGCUAAAUCAAUUUUUUAAAUGCUUUAUUUUACUUUCUGUGUUAUAUAUAAUGAUAUAGUGUUGGCCUUAAUUUUUAUUUUAUUCCAAAAAAGGAAGUCUUCAAUAAGGCGUUAACAGGAGAGAGAGUAUAUAGAUAUUUUAUUGUAGAAGUUUAAGCCUAAUGACUGUCUAUUGUUUUAUUUCGGAUAGUUUUGAACAAGGCCCGUAUAAUCUAUAUGCUGAAUGGUUUCUAUUACUUUUGGUGUUGUAUAUAAUUGCGCAGUGUUUGCCUUGAUACUUUCUUUUGUUCCAAAAAGGAAGUAUUUAGUAAGGCGUUUACAGUAGUACAUGUGUAUGGCAGUGUUAUAAUGUAAGCCUAAUGACCGUCUAUAUUUUGUUUCGGAUAAAAAGUUUGGAACAAGGUGUUAAUAAACUAUAUUUUGAAUGGUUUAUAUUCAUUUCUGUGUUGUAAAUAAUUUUAUAGUUUUUGCCUUAAUACUUUUUUGUUUUACAUAGGAAGUCUAUAAGGCGCUAACAGUAGCAUAAAAAUAUGGUGUUUUUAUGAAAAGCAUAAAAACACGUACUACAUUUUAGCUGUAAAUGUUAUGAUUUAAUGUGACUUGUUUUAUUAAAAAAAAGCCUUAAGAAAUAUUAAUUAAUUUGCAAAAUAUCAGUUCUUCAUGCAUCUUGCAAGAUAUUGUAUCUGACAAGGUCUGGUUACUUUUCAAUUAAAUCUCGGGUUAUAAUUUAUUACAAAAACAUAAUGCAUCACUUUACAGAGAACAAAAAAGACCAUUUGGAGUUUGUAUUAACAGUAUCGUAGAUUUUUUUUCUGUUUUUUAUUUAUCAAAUUAACAAAUUUGUCUUUGCAGUUGAUAUUUUACUUGAAUGAGAAAAACUGUACAUUAUACUAUCAAAACGAAAGUAUUGUUAACGAAUUUUGACUUUAGACAAAACUUGUUUUAUGUUUAUUGUUAUAUCUUAAUGCAUGUACGAUAUUUACUCAAAUUGCGAUUAUCAAUAUUUAUGUUGUUUUUAUUAACUUAUAAUUCUUUUGAGUACUGUUGGUUCUGAGAAACAUCUGUUUACAUUACAACUAUGUGUUGUAUAAUAGUUUUCAAAAAUCUAAGAUUUAAAAUUAAAUCAAGUGUUACAUUUAUGUUAAAAUAACAAGACCGACAUAAAAUACGGAUAAGAAAGACUAAGCAUGCCACAACAUCUAGUGACAUGUGAUGCAAUCUUCUGCUGAACUUGUCAGACCUUUAUUAUUCGGUUGACAUUUAAACACAUGUUCGCAACAAAGAGAUUUUAAAUGCCCCCUGAUCGAAUGAUCGGGGGUAUAUUGUGUUUGGCCUGUCUGUCUGUCAUUGUAUGCAUGUGUCUGUGUGUCUGUCCCAAAACGUGAACCUUGGUCAAAACUUUUACAAUAUUGAAGAUAGCAACAUGAAAUUUGGCAUUUUGAGUGGUGAAAUGUCUAGUUCAUCCUUCAAGGUCAAAUGUCAAAUAUAUGGCUUCAAAGCGGCACAGUAGGGGGCAUUUUUGUUUCACAAACACAGUUCUUGUUUUCUAUUUGAAUGGAUUUCGUUUAUAAUUUCAAAAAUAAUGUUUGGUACUUAACAAAUAAGUGCAUAUAACUCAAAUAGAUUAUUAUUGAAAAGCCGUACAAAUCUAGUCAGUUUUACGUUUAAAUAGAUGUUUGAUGUUGUGUAAUAUAUAUGUGCUGUUUUGAUAAAUAUAUAAAUGUGAUGUUGUGAAAGUGAAAUGUAUUAUGAUGAAUAUUAAUUAUUAUCUAAGUUAAAUUAAGUUCAAUUAAAAGGUGUAUACAUUAGUCAA